rnacentral:rRNA from 1 species
AUUGAACGCUGGCGGCAUGCUUUACACAUGCAAGUCGAACGGUAACAGGCCGCAAGGUGCUGACGAGUGGCGAACGGGUGAGUAAUGCAUCGGAACGUGCCCAGUCGUGGGGGAUAACGCAGCGACAGCUGCGCUAAUACCCAAUACGAUCUAUGGAUGACAGCGGGGGACCGUACGGCCUCGCGCGAUUGGAGCGGCCGAUGUCAGAUUAGGUAGUUGGUGGGGUAAAGGCUCACCAAGCCGACGACCUGUAGCUGGUCUGAGAGGACGACCAGCCACACGGGGACUGAGACACGGCCCAGACUCCUACGGGAGGCAGCAGUGGGGAAUUUUGGACAAUGGGGGCAACCCUGAUCCAGCAAUGCCGCGUGCAGGAAGAAGGCCUUCGGGUUGUAAACUGCUUUUGUACGGAACGAAACGGCUCUGGUUAAUACCUGGGGCUAAUGACGGUACCGUAAGAAUAAGCACCGGCUAACUACGUGCCAGCCGCCGCCGUAAUAC